AUCUAAUACUAGAAUACCUUUCUUAAUUAACAAAAGCAAAUUAUACUCAUUUCUCCUAUAAUUAGCAUUUAUUACACUCAGUAUUCUUUUUUAUUUUUGUAUUACUUUGGUCUCGUGUUGAUUAACGAUUCUACUUUUACAUUAAAUGACAUAAUUAUCCUUCUCUUUUACAAAACCAAAAUAACACUCACUCUCUCCGUUCAACUUUCGAUUUCUUCCUUCCAUAGAAUCCCUAAUCUUCAUCCCUCUUUGUCUUUUCCACUUUCACCUUUCGCCAUGAAUCAGAUAUAGAUCUCAUCUUCUUUGCCACCAAAUUGUCCUCUGUUGUGCUCACUUGUUGUCGUUCUUUGUCGGAUCUACGGCCUACGCUGCCCCCAAAGGAAGAACCUCUAGGCAUCAACUGUUCUCUGUUUGUGCCGCCGCGGACUCGCCUGAUCUUGUGAUUAAUACCUUAGGCACUAAUCUUCUCAUCACAAGUUCAUUUGUCUCUAAAAAAAAAUGUUAUUCUUGUCUUUUAGAAUGCAAAAAGGUUUAGAUCAUUUGUCUCUAAAAAAAAUGUUAUUCUUGUCUUUUAGAAUGCAAAAAGGAUUAGAUGUAAAGUGUAGCACUGAUGUUUUUCUUAUGUAAUUUGUUUUGUUUGUAAAAAGAAAAACUAGAUCCCUUUUAUUGUUCUGUUUCUAGUAGUUACUGUGUUUCAAGAGCAAUGUUGAUUUUCUUUUUAAUUACUUGAGAAAUAAAUGGUUCAUUUGUUUUGAUUUUGUUCCGCC
rnacentral:lncRNA from 1 species